UACAGAGGGUGCGAACGUUGCUCGGAAUUACUGGGCGUAACGCGCGUGUAGGCGGGACGGCAAGUCAGAUGUGAAAUCCCCGGGCUCAACCCAGGAACUGCAUCUGAUACUGCCGCCCUUGAGUCUCGGAGAGGGUGGUGGAAUUCCUGGUGUAGAGGUGAAAUUCGUAGAUAUCAGGAGGAACACCGGUGGCGAAGGCGGCCACCUGGACGAGUACUGACGCUGAGACGCGAAAGCGUGGGGCGCAAACAGG
rnacentral:rRNA from 1 species